CAAUACAAGGCAUACGGCUCAGUAACGCGUACCCCUUUUAACCUAUGGACGGGAAUAACCUCGGGAAACUGAGAAUAAUGCCCGAUAGAACAUUAUGCCUGGAAUGGUUUAUGUUCCAAAUGAUUUAUCGCCGUAGGAUGGGACUGCGGCCUAUCAGUUUGUUGGUGAGGUAAUGGCCCACCAAGACUAUUACAGGUACGGGCUCUGAGAGGAGUAGCCCGGAGAUGGGUACUGAGACACGGACCCAGGCCCUAUGGGGCGCAGCAGGCGAGAAAACUUUGCAAUGUGCGAAAGCACGACAAGGUUAAUCCGAGUGGUUUCUGCUAAAGAAACCUUUUGUCAGUCCUAGAAACACUGAUGAAUAAGGGGUGGGCAAGUUCUGGUGUCAGCCGCCGCGGUAAAACCAGCACCUCAAGUGGUCAGGAUGAUUAUUGGGCCUAAAGCAUCCGUAGCCGGCUCUGUAAGUUUUCGGUUAAAUCUGUACGCUCAACGUACAGGCUGCCGGGAAUACUGCAGAGCUAGGGAGUGGGAGAGGUAGACUGUACUCGGUAGGAAGGGGUAAAAUCCUUUGAUCUAUUGAU
rnacentral:rRNA from 1 species